rnacentral:rRNA from 1 species
GAUGAACGCUGGCGGCGUGCUUAACACAUGCAAGUCGAACGGAAAGGCCCUGCUUUUGUGGGGUGCUCGAGUGGCGAACGGGUGAGUAACACGUGAGUAACCUGCCCUUGACUUUGGGAUAACUUCAGGAAACUGGGGCUAAUACCGGAUAGGAGCUCCUGCUGCAUGGUGGGGGUUGGAAAGUUUCGGCGGUUGGGGAUGGACUCGCGGCUUAUCAGCUUGUUGGUGGGGUAGUGGCUUACCAAGGCUUUGACGGGUAGCCGGCCUGAGAGGGUGACCGGCCACAUUGGGACUGAGAUACGGCCCAGACUCCUACGGGAGGCAGCAGUGGGAAAUAUUGCACAAUGGGCGGAAGCCUGAUGCAGCAACGCCGCGUGCGGGAUGACGGCCUUCGGGUUGUAAACCGCUUUCGCCUGUGACGAAGCGUGAGUGACGGUAAUGGGUAAAGAAGCACCGGCUAACUACGUG